AGCGGGGUAGAGCAGUUUGGUAGCUCGCAAGGCUCAUAACCUUGAGGUCACGGGUUCAAAUCCUGUCCCCGCAA
rnacentral:tRNA from 2 species